rnacentral:rRNA from 1 species
GAUGAACGCUGGCGGCGUGCCUAAUACAUGCAAGUCGAGCGAACGGACGAGAAGCUUUCUUCUCUGAUGUUAGCGGCGGACGGGUGAGUAACACGUGGAUAACCUACCUAUAAGACUUUGAUAACUUCGGGAAACCGGAGCUAAUACCGGAUGAUAUUUUGAACCGCAUGGUUCAAAAGUGAAAGACGUUCUUGCUGUCACUUAUAGAUGGAUCCGCGCUGCAUUAGCUAUUUGGUAAGGUAACGGCUUACCAAGGCAACGAUGCAUAGCCGACCUGAGAGGGUGAUCGGCCACACUGGAACUGAGACACGGUCCAGACUCCUACGGGAGGCAGCAGUAGGGAAUAUUCCGCAAUGGGCGAAAGCCUGACGGAGCAACGCCGCGUGAGUGAUGAAGGUCUUCGGAUCGUAAAAAUCUGUUAUUAGGGAAGAACAUAUGUGUAAGUAACUGUGCACAUCUUGACGGUACCUAAUCAGAAAGCCACGGCUAACUACGUG